AUGGAAAUGUUCCAUGGCUUGAAGAGGUGGAGAGGAUGUGGGAGAUGCAUUCUUUGAAAAGAGACACAUAGACAUGAAAUGGGAAUUUCCAUAAGCAAUUUAGGAGAAGGAGGACUUCUGAAUGCUUGUACUUAGAAUUAUUUGCAAUGUCUUCCCCUAAUUCAAGGGUAGUUUGUCUUAUCCUUGGAUAAGAUACGAUUGGAUUGCCUGGAAAAAGAGAGGGUAGCCAUGCACUGACGUAGCAGAAGUAGAGCUGCUGAGGCCAACAAGGAACCUUUGGGAUUGCUCCUGGCCGUGGAUGUUUGGCAUGUCCCUGACAGCCGAGCUGUACAUGCUCAGACAUGCUCCCCCAGCCUGGGCUUUGGGCUCCCACGGCCCCUGCAGAGCACUGGGAGGAGCUGGGGCUGAAGGCCUGAGCUCUGCUCUCUCAGCUCUAAGCCCUGGGGAAGCGUCCCUGACCCUGCUCUGUGCACAGUUUUCUCUUGAAUGCCUCACGUGGGAAAUGCCCCAAUGUGGGGAAUGCUCGUGAGGCUGUUUGCAAGAGCAGUUCCUGGCUUGCUUGCUGUGCCCGUUGCUUUGGCAGGCUCCUGGGGGUUGGAUGUUGGUGCUCAUUGCUUCUGGCCGGGCUUAUGGCUGCUUUGGAACUACUGUGGUCUCACACCAUUGUUGUCCUUCGAUACAGAUAUGCUGUUCUCAGUGCUUGCUGCCUGCAUACCUCUAUGUUCGUGCUGCUCUCUGGGUGGUGAGGCUCUCCCUGGGCUCUGGCAGUGACUCAGCUUCGUCUCCUCGGGGUGUGCUCCUCACAGCCUGCCUUGUUAUCUCUUAGCAAUCCCACGCUGAUCCGUAGAGGAUCCAUGUGUGUGCUGGGAGCAAGCUGGUACGGCGCCUUCAGUGCUCGCUCCCUGCACCUUUCUCUCUUACUGUGCCUUCAUCACAGCUUGCUCCCAGGGCAGGGCAUCAGCUGCCUUCUGGAAGCACAGCUGUUGUCCUUAGAGGAAUCGAUGUUCUUAUUUCAAAAUGGAAAUCUAACCACAACUCCCCAAAACCAAACCCCAAACCCCCAGCCCUCGUGGGCAGCCUCAUGUAGUCUGAUGGGGGUGAUGGUCUAUGUGAGAUCUUCCUCUGCUUUCCCAUUUAGCCCCAUCACGUCAGCUGUUCUUUGAACCUUGCUCUGAAAUGUCAGCGGGGGGUUGCCCUCAUUUCAGUGCUCUGUCUCAUGCUGUCGCUUGUGGGUUUUGCUGUAUAGGCUGGGCAAGUGAACUGGGGGAAAAAACCCACAAAAACCAAUCAAAACACACAGAUUCUGUAAUUGCUUUGGAAUCUGACGAGCAGCAGAUGGCUCUGUGCUCUUUGCAAGCACCCAUCCUCUGCAUACCGAGGACUAGCUACGUCAUGUUGUUCAACAAGCCACAGAAAUUAUAUUUUAAUCCAACCUUGCUUCCCCCUUCCUCCUCCCCCACCCCCCGUGGUUUGUUGUUGCACUCAGUAGCUUGCCAUAAUGCAUUUCGUCCUGCCUGCCUCUGAUUGGAAACACAAGACACGACUUCAUUACAAGCUCUAUGGCUUCCCCCUACACUUAACAUACCGUACAAAUUGUUUGCUCAACUUUGGCAUCUUGCCUCAGAGGAAUUUUUGUCAUUUGAAGGUUUUAAAUCGGCUAUUUGAGCCACUCACAAUUGUAAAUAAUAGCCUAUUAGUUUAUAAGAGACGUACUUGCUGGCAUUUCAAACCUCUCAGAGGGAUCACACUGUCUUGGAAACCCUGUAACGCCUAUGGAACUGAGCACUGUUUAAAGAAACCCCCAAACGCUGCCCUGGGAAAAUUCAUUUAUAGAAAAUAAGCGAAACGAAUAGAUGUUUUUAGCCACAUGUUACUCAUUUUCUUUUUAUUGCUUUAACAUGUCUUCACUGGAACAUGUUUCCAUUGGAGGCUGCUGGUGCCAGCUGUACACCUGGCUCAAGUUGGAAAGAAAUGGAGUUUGGCCUUUCAUCUUCGCUGUUUUCUGUUAUGAUUGGAACUGAGGGUUGGCCCCAGAUCAGACAAAGGGUGAGCUGAAAACCAUCCUCAGAGCUGGUUUCUAGAGGAAGCCUUAUAGGGUUGUGUGUGGGGGGUUUGGCUUUUUUUUUCUCCUCUCCCUUUUUGGAGCUCUUGUAUUGAGUUUAUAUACUGGCAGAGGCAGGAAACCAUUGUGUACAAUAUGGCAAACAGAGCUAACAGGCAGUCAGGCCAGAGGCUAUAAAUUAUUAUUUUAAUUUCUUGGUUUAUGGUUUCUUGUUGACUCCAGAUCAAUAGGAAAAAGAUGCAUUGAGCCACCUCUUUUAAUUAAAAAGGCUUCUGUGAUUAGGCUCUAGUGAGGGAUGAAGAGGCGCGUGAAGAGGAUGUGUCUGGAAGCAGAUGGUGGUUUCCAGGGGGAGGAAUGUUGCUUUCCCCUGUGCUGCAUCAGCCGCUCAUUUUCUAGUGGCCAACUUUCUGGAGGAGCUAUGGGAGAAACCCAACUGCAGCGCAGCACACUUCACCGAGCUUUCUUCCAGCCUGGUUUGUGUUUGCAUCCUCACAUCCCGAGCCAGCGGACCUUGUUUCCCAUCGAAUAAAAAAGCACUGUAUUUUAGCAGACUCUUGUGCUUAUUUUAAAACAACUCCAGCUUCGUUUCACCCCAAACGUGGGCCACUUGCCCCAUAGUGCUGAGAAAUCGUUGGCGUUUGGUGCCUAACAGGUGCAGCAAUGUUUUUCUUUCCAAAGAAUUUCCACAGCGAAAUGCACAUCUGUAACAAAGCCUGUGUUUUUCUGCUCAUCACCCUCAGACACGGCCGUAAUUAAAUGCAGAUAUUAAUACCGAGGGCUACUUUGUGUUCCAUAAUCCGUAGGAGAAUGACCCAUUGCACGGCGCUCGUUUGAAGUCUUAGUUAACCUUUAAUCGUUUGAUGCUGAGUCUGGCUUUGAUUUUCACAGCAGAAGAAGUGCGUUUUGCAAAACCUUCAGGAAGGAAACGUGCCAAUCCCACAGUAUUUCUCAUCGUGCUGUGGACGUUACUGUCAAAACCUCUCGGGCAACGCUGUGAGCAGUGAGGGCUUUUUCCAUUCCUCGCUUGCGCUCUGCCUCUUGUAAGGCAGCAUCGGAGUAAUGGCUUAAAUGCUGCUAACGUUUGUUUUGCUGAAGGAGACCUGGGCCGGUAGAGCAGGGCGGCGUGGCGCAGGUCUCAGAUGUGGAAUUUCCUCAGCACGAAGCACUGCUGGGCUCGGGUCCUGAACCCUUCUGAGAGGUAACGGCUGAUGGAAGCCAAGGAAGCAGAAAGCUGUGCAAAGAAGGACUUGGAAGGGAGAUGUGAUAACUUUACAGAGGAGACUAAUGACCACAUGUUGAUGAAAUACUGCUGCGGGCCCAUCUGGAACUGACGUGCGUCUUUGAGAAACAGCUGGGCUGUUAGCUUUUUAGGAUCAAAGCUUCUCACAUUUGGUCCCUGUUCUUGAAGAAGCGCAAGUGUUUCCACUGCAGACAUGAGCGAUUCUGGCUCUGCUCCCUGCCACCCAUCCCCAGAUCCACUUUGUGAGCG
ensembl:lncRNA